UACGGGGGGGGCAAGCGUUAAUCGGAAUUACUGGGCGUAAAGCGUGCGCAGGCGGUUUUGUAAGCCAGAUGUGAAAUCCCCGGGCUUAACCUGGGAAUGGCAUUUGGGACUGCAAGGCUCGAGUGCGGCAGAGGAGACUGGAAUUCCUGGUGUAGCAGUGAAAUGCGUAGAUAUCAGGAGGAACACCGAUGGCGAAGGCAGGUCUCUGGGCUGACACUGACGCUCAUGCACGAAAGCGUGGGGAGCAAACAGG
rnacentral:rRNA from 1 species